rnacentral:rRNA from 1 species
GAUGAACGCUAGCGGCAGGCUUAAUACAUGCAAGUCGAGGGGCAGCAGUUUUGUAGCAAUACAGAAGCUGGCGACCGGCAAACGGGUGCGGAACACGUACGCAACCUUCCUUUAACUGGAAGAUAGCCCACCGAAAGGUGGAUUAAUACUCCAUAACAUAUUGAAGAGGCAUCUCUUUGAUAUUAAAGCUCCGGCGGUUAAAGAUGGGCGUGCGUCUGAUUAGGUAGUUGGCGGGGUAACGGCCCACCAAGCCUUCGAUCAGUAGCUGAUGUGAGAGCAUGAUCAGCCACACGGGCACUGAGACACGGGCCCGACUCCUACGGGAGGCAGCAGUAAGGAAUAUUGGUCAAUGAACGCAAGUCUGAACCAGCCAUGCCGCGUGGAGGAUGAAGGCCCUCUGGGUUGUAAACUUCUUUUCUUUGGGACGAAACCCCUGUUUCUACGGGGACUGACGGUACCAGAGGAAUAAGCACCGGCUAACUCCGUGCCAGCAGCCGCUGUAA